rnacentral:rRNA from 2 species
UGUUUCCUAAAACUUACUACUACUUAUUGUUUUAUUUAAAUCCCCUGUUUAUAUAUAGAUUUAACUCAAAAUAGAGCCAAAGCCAGAUUCAAACUUUCCCUAA